rnacentral:snoRNA from 1 species
GGUCAAUGAUGUGAUGGCAUGUAUUAGCUGAAUCCAAGGUUGAUGUAUGUACUACAGUUAACCCUGAGACCUU